UUGACGGUACCCUACUAGAAAGGAGCCGCUAACUUCGUGCCAGAAGCGUCGGUAAUACGGGGGCUCCAAGCGUUAUCCGGUGUUAUUGGGCGUAAAGAGUCGUGUAGGUGGUUGGGUAAGUUAUCUUUCAAAUAUCUUUGCUUAACAAGGAGGAGGGGGAUAAUACUGCUCGACUAGAAUUUUCUCAAGGGAGAUCGGAACUGAGGGAGGAGUAGUGAAAUGCGUUGAUACCCUCGGGAACACCAGUGGCGUAGGCGGAUCUCUGGGAGAAGAUUGACACUGAGACACGAAAGCUAGGGGAGCGAAGCAGAUUAGAGACCUGCGUAGUCCUAGCCGUAAACGCAUGCUUGCUGGCUGCAUGAAUCUACCUUCGGGUGGUAUCGUGUGGCGAAGGUAACCCGUUAAGCAAGCCGCCUGGAGAGUACGGCCGCAAGGCUGAAAUUCAAAGGAAUUGGCGGGGAGGCACACAACCAGUGGAACAUGUGGUUUAAUUCGAGACUAACCGAAGAACCUCACCAGGGUUUGACAUGUAGCUGCACGUCUUAAGAAAUUAAGACUCUCUUGAAGGUGCUACACAGGUGCUGCAUGGCUGUCGUCAGCUCGUUCCGUGAGGAGUGCCCUUAAGUGGGACAACGAGCGCAACCCCUAUUACAUGUUAGAAAUGUCAUGUAAGACUGCCUUGCCAUUUGGCGGGGAGGAAGGAGGGGCAGACGUCAAGUCCGCAUGGUCCUUAUGCCCUGGGCUACACACAUGUUACAAUGAGUACGGCAAUGAGUCUGUCGCGAGCACGUAAGUGUAAGCUAAUCUCUUAAAUGUACUCUCAGUGGGGAUUGAGGUCUGCAACUCGACCUCAUGAACACGGAAU
rnacentral:rRNA from 1 species